AGCGAGGAGAAAAGACUUGCUCUUGGAUCCUAGCGGCGGACGGGUGAGUAACGCGUGGGUAACCUGCCCUAUACACACGGAUACCAUACCGAAAGGUAUGCUAAUACGGGAUAAAGCUAAGAUAAGGCAUCUUAUCAUAGUCAAAGCGAAAGCGGUAUAGGAUGGGCCCGCGUCCCAUUAGCUAGUUGGUGAGGUAAAAGCUCACCAAGGCGACGAUGGGUAGCCGACCUGAGAGGGUGAUCGGCCACACUGGAACUGAGACACGGUCCAGACUCCUACGGGAGGCAGCAGUGGGGAAUAUUGCACAAUGGGGGAAACCCUGAUGCAGCAACGCCGCGUGAGCGAAGAAGGCCUUCGGGUCGUAAAGCUCUGUCCUAAGGGAAGAAGGAUUGACGGUCCUUAGGAGGAAGCCCGGCUAACUACGUGCCGCAGCCGCGG
rnacentral:rRNA from 1 species